rnacentral:lncRNA from 1 species
GUAGGCUCGAGGUCUCAUUAUGUUGGCCAUGCUGGGCUCAAGUGAUUCUCCUGCCUUGGUCUCCCAAAGUGCUGGGAUUACAGGCGUGAGUCACUGCACCCAGCCAACUGUUUUUCUUGAAUCAACUCCUCCCACCAUCCCCUUACCACGUUUUAAGUUCAAUCUCUGAUCUUCUUUUCCUGAGCAACUGAAGCAGCUUCAUUUGGUCCUUCUGACUUGAGUCUCAUCAUUUUCAAAUCCAUCUCCACACCACUGCCAGAACCAUCCAUCUAAAACACAAAUCUGUCUAGCAUGUCCCUUCCUAUUUGAAACAUUGUAAGUGUUCUGCUCCUCCAUCCCCAUAGGAUGAUAUAAUAAUCCUUUUAUUGUGAAAUACAGGACCCUUCAGGUUUCGGCUUUCCCUUCUUUUCCCUGCCCUCUCCUUGUUCUAUAAUUGGAAGCACUUUAAUUAACCACACAUAACAUAUUGUCUCUGUGUCUUACUGAGGCUGUCCUGUUUCUUCUCCCCAAAUAACCUCUCUCCUCUUGACUGUCUUCCACCUUCCAGAAGGCUGUCCAGCUUAUCCUUUCUUUGGAGAUCAACUAUUCUAGAAGGCCGUCUAUGAGCCUGACUCUCCAUCCCAAGCAUCUCCCUAUCCCCUCAAUGCCCUGUGCAGAUAAUAUGGAGUAAAUAUCACGUGAAAAUUGUUACACUGCUUUGUGAUUAUCUAUUACAUUGUCUUUUCCUCUGAUUAAUUUCCUGGGACAAGAACUUACUCAGUCUCAUAUUCUUGGUACCUCUGACAGUGCCAGGCCCAUAUUAGGCAAAGGCCUCACUGCAUGGGUAUCAUGCCAUGGAGCUUGAAUGUGCCUGGUUGCCCUCCCAAAAUAUCUUCUUAUUUUUGCAGGACAAAUGACCACCUAGAUUUUUCAUCCAGGAAACCUUUGUCUGAAAUGUCGUAUGUAUACCCUAGACUCCUGGUUCUCUCUCCUGAAACGUUUUCCUCUUCCAGACUUCCAUCAUUUUAGUAAAGGGAACCACUCUACACCCAAUUACUCAAGCAAGAAACCUGUGAAUCAUUCCUCAUUCCUCUUUUCUCUCAUUCUCCAUGUUUAAUCCAUCAAUGAAUGCUGUUGAUUCCACCUCCAAUAAGUAUCUUCAAAUAUCUCAUCCACUUCUGUAUACCUUCAAAGCCAGAAUUUUAGUCUAGGCUGCAAUUGUUUCUCGUCUGGAUACCGCAGUAGCUUCCUAACAGAUCCUCUCCUUCAUCUUCUGCCUACUUCCAGUCCAUUCUUCAUGCUGCAGUUGGAAGCGUAGACCUGUAAAUUAAGUGAAGUCACUUAAAAUUUUUUCGUGGCUUCCCACUUUCUCAAAUGAACCCCAACGCCUCACCAGCUUACAAAGUCAUGGGCAGCCUAGCCAACACAGCAAGAUCCUGUCUC